CGUGUAGGCGGUCUUUUAAGUCUGAUGUGAAAGCCCCGGGCUCAACCUGGGAAGUGCAUUGGAAACUGGGAGGCUUGAGUACGGGAGAGGAGAGUGGAAUUCCUAGUGUAGGAGUGAAAUCCGUAGAUAUAUGGAAGAACACCAGUGGCGAAGGCGGCUUUCUGGACUGUAACUGACACUGAGGCUCGAAAGCCAGGGGAGCGAACG
rnacentral:rRNA from 1 species